rnacentral:lncRNA from 1 species
AUCUCUCUGCAACCGCUGAUCUCGCUCGGCCCGCCGACCGGGGGAGCGCGCUCCUUGCCCGGUUUGUUUUCUCCAGCCUAGGGCUUCUGUACCCUGGGGGUUUUCCGCUGUUACUAAGCGGCUGAAGCCUCAACCUGUCAUCUUUUUUUCCCCUUAAAUCCCUAACGUGAGACUUCUGGCUUUUCCCCUUUGGUCCUUUUGCAGAGCCAGUUUUGCCUCCCGCGAUUGUGGAAAAUUUGCAGAGGUCAAAGGUAGACUUGACCUUCCACUUAUUUCAAGCGAAAUGGCGCGAAAAUGCCCUGCAAAGUCGUUGGUCCGUGCGCUAGACCAGCGUAGCACGCGUGAACUGGCUUGGGUGGGACUUGUCCGGCUGGGAGUUAAGGGAAGCAGUCGGGUUUACUUAAGAAGACUUGGAAUUUUCCACCGCCAGUUGCACAGCCCUGUUUUCCGCGAUAACGUUAGGUCGGAGACCUGUCGGCGAGUUUAAUUCCUAACACUUUACAGCCCUUUUUUUUUUUUAAGUAUUUUGCAUAUUUCUUCCUCUUUUCAGCGUCGUUAAUACUUUUUCGGACUCGUCUUGAAUACAGCUAUUACUGCAGAAUCUAAGUUACCGUUUGGAAAAGGAGCAUACAACAGGAUCUCCAUGCCCUAAAGACACGGUUAUUUCCCUCCGUUCACAGAAGUUGACAGUCCCAACAACAAAAUGAAUGCUUUUAGACUGAUUUCCACGAAAUUGAAAUAAGUUCUCGAGUGAUCAACUUAAUAUUUUCUUAGCACCAUAUUCUUUUGAGGGAGUCAACGUGUUCCUUUAUUAUUUUCUGUACAGCCUUUGAGAUUUCACAAAAAGCGUAAUGGAAACUUAUUUACAGCAGCAUGGGAAAUGCAAACAACAAGGAAAGGCUUUAUGCUGGCCUGCCUUUCAACAACAGUUUCUAUACCUCCCAAGACAAUUCCUUUUAAAAUUGUCAUUAAAUAUUUAUUUCAUUUUCA